AAACCGCAAACCAGCGCUUCUUCUCUCUCUCUUCAGCGUUUCUCCCUCUCCCUCUCCGCUGCUUCUCUCCCCUCCCUCUCUCACCGUCGCUGGCCACCGUCCGUCCCCAUCGUCGCAUGUUGCCACCGCCAUCGCUGAAAUCACCACCAACACUACCACAAAUCACAGGGCAGUACAAACUUGGAGGCCAUUCAGAUUAUUAAGAAGCCUGGAGGAUCACUAAAGGAUUCAUUUUGAGAUGAGGGACUCGUGUGCUCAAAGUGGACAUACACUGUGAUGGGUGUAGGCAGAAAGUGAAGAAACUUCUUCAGAGGAUUGAAGGUUCUCACUUGACCAUGAAUUACUUAGCUAACUCUCCCUUCUCUGUUUUCUAGUUUAUUUUUCCCCAUUACUAGUUCUCUCUAUUUUUCAUCUCUUUAACUGUGUUUGAAGAGUGGUGUUUUGGUUAAUUUGUCCAUUGAUAUUCCUUACUCUGGACCUCAAUGAUAUGGGUUUUGUGUGAAAUGGAUAAAUUUUAACAAUGUGCUAUGGUUAGGGCAUUCAAAUUCUUUUGCUUAA